CUUCCAGUAGCACCUUAAAGACCAACUAAGUUUGUUAUUGGUAGCUUAAGAAGUGUGCAUGCACACGAAAGCUCAUACCAAUAACAAACUUAGUUGGUCUCUAAGGUACUACUGGAAG